rnacentral:misc_RNA from 1 species
UUUCCGUAGGUGAACCUGCGGAAGGAUCAUCAACAAAACAAUAAAAUUCAAAACAAAAACACCAAUUUCAUUCCAAAAUUAUAUUGGAAUGUUUUUUUAAUGGGGAUGUGGAGAUUUCUAAUUUUUUUAAUUAGAUUUUUCUCAUGCCCCAUCAUUUAAAACUCCUAAAAAAACAAAUUAAAAAAUUAUUCCAAAAAAUUUUAAAAUAUAAAAAUAGAGACAACUUUUAACAAUGGAUCUCUUGGCUCUC